rnacentral:rRNA from 1 species
GUGCACCAGUCGAGAAAACUUUACAAUGCGGGAAACCGUGAUAAGGGAAUCUCGAGUGCCAGCAUAUAAUGUUGGCUGUCCAGAUGCCUAAAAAGCAUCUGUUAGCAAGGGCCGGGCAAGACCGGUGCCAGCCGCCGCGGUAACACCGGCGGCCCGAGUGGUAACCGUUUUUAUUGGGUCUAAAGGGUCUGUAGCCGGCCAUGUAAGUCCCUUGGGAAAUCUGGCAGCUCAACUGUCAGGCUGCUAGGGGAUACUGCUUGGCUUGGGACCGGGAGAGGUGAGAGGUACCUUGAGGGUAGGGGUGAAAUCUUGUGAUCCUCGGGGGACCACCAGUGGCGAAGGCGUCUCACCAGAACGGGUCCGACGGUAAGGGACGAAAGCUAGGGGCACGAACCGGAUUAGAUACCCCGGUAGUCC